AUGAACGCUAGCGACAGGCUUAACACAUGCAAGUCGAGGGGCAGCGGGGUGUAGCAAUACACCGCCGGCGACCGGCGCACGGGUGAGUAACGCGUAUGCAACUUGCCUAUCAGAGGGGGAUAACCCGGCGAAAGUCGGACUAAUACCGCAUGAAGCAGGGGCCCCGCAUGGGGAUAUUUGCUAAAGAUUCAUCGCUGAUAGAUAGGCAUGCGUUCCAUUAGGCAGUUGGCGGGGUAACGGCCCACCAAACCGACGAUGGAUAGGGGUUCUGAGAGGAAGGUCCCCCACAUUGGUACUGAGACACGGACCAAACUCCUACGGGAGGCAGCAGUGAGGAAUAUUGGUCAAUGGGCGCGAGCCUGAACCAGCCAAGUCGCGUGAGGGAUGAAGGUUCUAUGGAUCGUAAACCUCUUUUAUAAGGGAAUAAAGUGCGGGACGUGUCCCGUUUUGUAUGUACCUUAUGAAUAAGGAUCGGCUAACUCCGUGCCAGCAGCCGCGGUAAUACGGAGGAUCCGAGCGUUAUCCGGAUUUAUUGGGUUUAAAGGGUGCGUAGGCGGCCUUUUAAGUCAGCGGUGAAAGUCUGUGGCUCAACCAUAGAAUUGCCGUUGAAACUGGGGGGCUUGAGUAUGUUUGAGGCAGGCGGAAUGCGUGGUGUAGCGGUGAAAUGCUUAGAUAUCACGCAGAACCCCGAUUGCGAAGGCAGCCUGCCAAGCCAUGACUGACGCUGAUGCACGAAAGCGUGGGGGUCAAACAGGAUUAGAUACCCUGGUAGUCCACGCAGUAAACGAUGAUCACUAGCUGUUUGCGAUACAGUGUAAGCGGCACAGCGAAAGCGUUAAGUGAUCCACCUGGGGAGUACGCCGGCAACGGUGAAACUCAAAGGAAUUGACGGGGGCCCGCACAAGCGGAGGAACAUGUGGUUUAAUUCGAUGAUACGCGAGGAACCUUACCCGGGUUUGAACGCAUUCGGACCGAGGUGGAAACACCUUUUCUAGCAAUAGCCGUUUGCGAGGUGCUGCAUGGUUGUCGUCAGCUCGUGCCGUGAGGUGUCGGCUUAAGUGCCAUAACGAGCGCAACCCUUGCCACUAGUUACUAACAGGUGAUGCUGAGGACUCUGGUGGGACUGCCAGCGUAAGCUGCGAGGAAGGCGGGGAUGACGUCAAAUCAGCACGGCCCUUACAUCCGGGGCGACACACGUGUUACAAUGGCGUGGACAAAGGGAGGCCACCUGGCGACAGGGAGCGAAUCCCCAAACCACGUCUCAGUUCGGAUCGGAGUCUGCAACCCGACUCCGUGAAGCUGGAUUCGCUAGUAAUCGCGCAUCAGCCAUGGCGCGGUGAAUACGUUCCCGGGCCUUGUACACACCGCCCGUCAAGCCAUGGGAGCCGGGGGUACCUGAAGUCCGUAACCGAAAGGAUCGGCCUAGGGUAAAACUGGUGACUGGGGCU
rnacentral:rRNA from 1 species